UACGGAGGAUCCAAGCGUUAUCCGGAUUUAUUGGGUUUAAAGGGUGCGUAGGCGGCUUUUUUUAAGUCAGGGGGUGAAAGACGGUAGCUCAACUAUCGCAGUGCCCUUGAUACUGAAGAGCUUGAAUACACUAGAGGUAGGCGGAAUGUGACAAGUAGCGGUGAAAUGCAUAGAUAUGUCACAGAAACACCAAUUGCGAAGGCAGCUUACUAUGGUGUCAUUUGACGCUGAGGCACGAAAAGCGUGGGGGAUCAAAACAGGA
rnacentral:rRNA from 1 species